GUCUCCAGCGUCAUUGCUGUGUGAGGUCUGCUACGUCAUGCCCACAGAUGCCCGGGCACACGGGAUGUCCAGGAGCACCAGUUAACACCACCAGGCGGCCACAGAGACGGGACGGAGCAGCGAGAGAGCGCAAAGACCUGUCGGCAGGUGGCACCGCGGCCCCAGGCCCCGCGCUCAGAGCCCCACAAAGGCAGCAGGGGACAUCGGAUGCUGAACCGGAGAAGCGGUGAGGUGCUGGCGUCCAACAGGCCCUGCCGCCUGUGAGGACCAGCACUGACGCCUCGGGAACCCAGGGGCAGCGGGGCCCCCCCAGAGGCCGGGCCUCGGCUUCCUCUCAGCCCCUCCGGGGUCGCUUCUGCAGCAGCCGCCCAGACUGACUCUAACUAUUGCUGCUCUGAGAAGUCCCCUCCAGAGCGCAGGCAAGGCACAGAGCAGGGGAGCACGCGCGGGUGGGGACACACCGGGCCAGUCCUGUGACUCAGUUUCUUUUUACAUCUGUUGUGGCUGGCUGCGCUUCCUUUGUGGCCCACGGAGCCCUGGGCACUUGCCUUCUGGAAGUUAGUAUUGACAAUAUAAACCCGGUAGUGAAAAGAUCA